AUUGAACGCUGGCGGCAGGCCUAACACAUGCAAGUCGAGCGGAUGAAGGGAGCUUGCUCCUGGAUUCAGCGGCGGACGGGUGAGUAAUGCCUAGGAAUCUGCCUGGUAGUGGGGGAUAACGUCCGGAAACGGGCGCUAAUACCGCAUACGUCCUGAGGGAGCAAGUGGGGGAUCUUCGGACCUCACGCUAUCAGAUGAGCCUAGGUCGGAUUAGCUAGUUGGUGGGGUAAAGGCCUACCAAGGCGACGAUCCGUAACUGGUCUGAGAGGAUGAUCAGGCACACUGGAACGUAGGCACGGUCCAGGCGCCUACGGGAGGGAGCAGUGGGGAACAUUGGACAAUGGGGGGAAGCCUUGUCCAGUCAUGGCGCGUGUGUUGAAGAGGUCUUCCGAUUGUAAAGCACGUUAAGGUGGGAGGAAGGGCAGUAAGUUAAUACCUUGCUUGUUUGACGGUACCAACAGAAGAAGCACCGGCUAACUUCGUG
rnacentral:rRNA from 1 species